rnacentral:rRNA from 1 species
AUUGAACGCUGGCGGCAUGCUUUACACAUGCAAGUCGAACGGUAACAGGGUGCUUGCACCGCUGACGAGUGGCGAACGGGUGAGUAAUGUGUCGGAACGUGCCGAGUAGUGGGGGAUAACGCAGCGAAAGUUGUGCUAAUACCGCAUACGUACUGAGGUAGAAAGUGGGGGACCUUCGGGCCGCACGCUCUUCGAGCGGACGAAGUAUGAUUAGGUAGUAGGUGAGGUAAAGGCUAACCUAGGCGACGAUCAGUAGCGGGUCUGAGAGGAUGAUCCGGCACACUGGGACUGAGACACGGCCCAGAAUCCUACGGGAGGCAGCAGUGGGGAAUUUUGGACAAUGGGCGAAAGCCUGAUCCAGCCAUGCCGCGUGUCUGAAGAAGGCCUUCGGGUUGUAAAGGACUUUUGUCAGGGAGGAAAUCCCUAGUGCUAAUAACACUGGGGGAUGACAGUACCUGAAGAAUAAGCACCGGCUAACUACGUGCCAGCAGCCGCCGCGGUAA